rnacentral:lncRNA from 1 species
GGGAGGUUCAGGAAGCCAUUCGUUCUUUCGCGUCUGCGGUGCCCGGAGUGUGGUACUUCUCCUAGUUGCAGUCAGGCUUCAUACGCUAUUGUCCUGCCCGUUAGAGCAGCCAGCGGGUACAGAAUGGAUUUUGGAAGAGGGAGUCACCACUGGACCUCCAAGGAAGCCACGUGCAGACAUCUACAACCUUCGAUCUCCUGACGAGUUUAUUGUUGGCCAAAACCAGGCUUUGAUUGAACCAGGAUGAAUGCGGGUGUUGGAAGUAGAAUAUAUAUAUACAUAUAAAAUUGGUUGGGAGCCACGUGUACCAGUGUGUGUUGAUCUUGGCUUGAUUCAGUCUGCCUUGUAACAGAUACAGGGUAUGAUACAGCAUCCUACAAGAAUGAGCAAACCUAUUCUGAUGGCAGGAGAUUGAGGACGUCUCCAAGCAAAUUCAAGUUCUCCCCCUGUGAGAGACACGAGGUAAAAUUGGCAUUGGAAGACGGAUGCUUGAUGGCCCUCGGGGGCUGACCCGCAGGGUGUCGGACUUCAGGGGACUUCAGGAAACAGCAGCGAGAGAGUUUGGCAUAGCUUAUUGCCCCAGGUUGUGGGGUCUUGGAAGAGAGCUGCCAUACAACUUAAUGCCUGAUCGGCUGGAGGACGAUCCGAGUGGAAAGGGAACAAUCUGGGGCUCUGGCUUACCACGUGCGUAAGCAUAACAAUCGCUUUGUUUAGCGAGCGGACAGAAUGUUUAAUCCAUUCCAGCCAUGCAUUUGCAUCUCGGUACCGUUUCAAUUGGUAGAGUUUGCUUUAGAUCUUUAACCUCUACAAUGGUCACUUUGGUUUUGUCAUUGGGUGUUUGUUUAGAAGGGGAUGAAGGGGGUGGGGGAACAAUGAAGCGCAUUUCGAAAGAUCCUGUAGGGUCUAUCCCUAAUGUUGCGGCUCCCAUGCUGUAGAAGCUACUUAAAGUGGGAUUAGGAUUGGUGGAGGUAGAGGUAAGAAUAGAAAUUUGCACUGGGUUACAUUGGUGAUAUUGGCAAUUAGAGGGGGCCUUCCCUUUGAAACGAAGGUAGGGUUGUAGAGAGAUGCAGCUUUUUGGGGAAGUCUACCCUUGAGGAUCGGUAUUCCAUAGGACGUCAUUCCGGGAUGGGCAGAACCUCUCCUCAAACCCUUCCCAUUCCCAAACUGCAAAGAAUGUAAUGGAUUUAGUUUCGAUUAGGCAAGCAUUGUGUGAGGAUUUAGAAUUUAUCUUGGAAGGGCAGAGAUAUUUUUCUGAGAAGGCCAGUUGCCUCUGGUUUUGGAGAUCCCCACAGGAUAUGACAAGACAGGCAUCAAAUGUGAUUGAGGUGAGCUUGAUCUAGUUACAUUAAUGAUAAAAUAGCUGACGGUAGAGAGAGGAAAGAAGACAAGGCAGUAUAAGAGGGUUAAAGUUUUCGUAGCUUUAGGUUGGUAGAAAUUGGCCCUGGAACAAUAGCCCAUGACUCUGAAGAUGGUGAUGCUGUUUUGACUGGGGUAUGAUGGGUCCACCCCUUUUCGGCUGUUCGGGCUGCUGUUUCAGUUAGGAGUGCUAGGUAUGGUCCUUCCCAAGCUGGCUCCUUCCAGCUUUUGAUAAGGAUGUGAUCUCCAGGCUGGUAUUGAUGUACCAGGAACUGUAAGGGUGGCAUCUGUGCUAAAAUACCUUUAGUUCUGAGGUAAGAGAAAGUGGAAAGCCAAGUAUAUAAUUUGAUCCUUUGUUUCAAAGGUAGGAAUGUCAGUAGUAAGAGUGUAAAUAAGGCAGUCCACAUAACAGAGAGAUAGGCCAGUAUCUUUCUGAGAGGCAGUCCUGACUGAAUUAGGUGAAUCUGUAAACCCUUGGGGUAGGACUCUCCAUUGGUACUGCUGCUUCCAUCCAGAAUGAGGGUUUUCCCACUCAAAAGCAAAUACUUCUCUUGUCUUCAGCCAAGGGACAUGCCCAGAAGGCAUCUUUUAAAUCUGUUACUCUGAACCAUUGAUUGUCAUGGAAUUCUGCUGAGGAUGGUAAAAGGAUUGGGGACAACAGGGUGGGUAGUCUGGACUAUUUGGUUGAUAGCCUGGAGAUCUUGUACUAGUUGAUGAGACCUGUCUGAUUUCUUUACAGGUAAUACUGGGGUGUUAAUAGGGGGACAUACAGGGUUCAGGGAAUCAGUCCUGAAUGAGAACUUCAACUACAGGCUUUAAUUCUAUUCUGCCCUCUAGGGGAAUGGGAUAUUACCUUUUUCUUACUAUUUCCCCUGGGGUCUUUAACUUUGUAUGGAUUGGAGUGACUUGAAGUUUCUUUUUUUCUUUCUUUUUUUUUUUUGAGUUGGAGUCUCUGUCACCCAAGCUGGAGUGCAAUGGUGUGAUCUUAAGCCACUGCAACCUUUGCCUCCUGGGUUCAAACAAUUCUCCUGCCUCGGCCUCCUGAGUAGCUGGGAUUACAGGCGCCUGCCACUGCACCCAGCUAAUUUUUGUAUUUUUAGUAGAGAUGGGGUUUCACCAUGUUGGCCAGGCUGGUCUCAAACUCCUGACCUCGUGAUCCACCCACCUUGGCCUCCCAAAGUGCUGGUAUUUCAAGUGUGAGCCAGCAAGCCCAGCCUCCCUGAUUUCUUUUUCCUGCCCAUACAUGAGGAUGAAUGUAUUUUUCUUCUGCGGUGGUAAGUCUCUUCCUAAUAAGUUCGUUCCUGCCUCAGGGAUUAACAGGAAUUUAACAUGGGCUGAUCAAUUUUUGUAUAGACCUCUGUCUUUUAAGAUUUUUGCUUUAAAUCUUUUAUCCCUGAGAUAGAAAGUUCUUCUGAAGAACAGGUGAUAGAUACCAGAUGGGAGGGAACGGGAGCGAGCUGCUGCUGAAUCUGUAAGAAGGUUUUAAGUUCACAUUUGGGUCCCACCUCUAAAUUUAUCAGGGGCUCUUGGUGGGACUCAAGGUAAAAGAGACAGCCCCUGACCUCCCUAUUUUCCUGGAAGGCCAUAAGUGGAAUAUUUUUUCUUUUUCCCAUUUGGGGCAUUCUCUUUUGAAGUGACCUACUCUUCCACAUUUGAAACAUUUGUUUUCCCCUCUUCCCUGUCCUGCACUGUGACUUCCAGGUUUUAUUCCCUUACUCCUUGUAUACAGUUUGGUCGCUGGUGGCCUAGAGGGUUUGUAAGUUUUACUUCCUUGUGUCUCCUACUGCAGAGUUCUCUGUUGUAAGGUAGACAGCAUGAUUUUUGCCUUUUGUUUCUGCUGCUCUUUGUCCCUACUUAUAUGCUUCUCUAAGAAGUUAGUCUCUGGGACAAUCUUUCCAAUUCUCUAUCUUUUGUAGUUGUUUUUAGAGGUGUUUGGCCAAGUCUUAGUAACAAAAUGAAGCUUUAGCAUCCCUUGCCCCAGUGGGUCUUCCAUUUCUAAACCUGCAUAUUUUCUCAUCUGUUCUUUAAGCCUAUUUAGGAAUUCAUGGGUCCUUCAUCCAUCCCUUGUAUGUUGAAUGCUUGGGAAAUACUCUCAGUUCGGGAUACUGAUGGAACAUUUUGACCGGUAGGGUGUUAAUGUUCCCAGACUACCAAAGCAGCCCUAUGGAUCAUGGUUCUUCUCCCAAGAAGGGAAUGCCUAAAAUGGACAUAAGCUCGGCCCAUACAACUGGGGUCCUAAAAAAUGAUUUGAUCUGCUACCCCAUAAGGGUCAUCUAACAAGGGCUUGAGUUUUUCUUUUUUUUUAGAUUUUGUACUUCUGAGCUGGUUAAGGGGGCAUUUACGAAGCUGAUGCCUCCUCUCCCAAGGGGCACUUCUUCAAGGGGAAGAGAGUUGGGGGCAAUUCUUUGGAGGUGGAAAGGGGAAAGGGAAGUUCUGAGUAUCCUUUUUACAUUGUUCUAUUUCAUGCUGUAGGGCUUAAGUGUGUGGCUAGGGGGAACAUGGGGUAUUGAUUCAGGAUUAUAUGGGGGAGGGACUGAUGAGUGGGGGGAUCCUGUGUACCGGCUUGAUGCAUGGGGUUUGGCAGAGGCAAGUGGUCUGGUGGGUCCCAUAUGUUAGCAGGCUGUUCGGGGGUAGAGACCUUACUCCUUUCAGAGGAGUUGGCUUCUGGCUUGCUUCCUGUAGUUAUGUUUAGUCCUUUCACUAUCCUUUUAGCAUGAGAACCUAGGGGACUGUCAGAGGGGAUGUUACUGUCAUUAAUUUGAUCCUUUCUAUUUACUGUCUUUCUUGAGGUAUUUUGCAUAAUGAAGGUUUGGUGUGAGGCCCAAAAUUAGAUUUAUUGCCUUUCCUCAUAGGCUCAACCUCCCUUACUGGAGAUUUCUUGCCAUUCCUUUCUCUAGAGGGUCAGCCCCUGGCUACUGGAGAUUUCUUGCACUCUUCUCCUUUUGCUUCAUCCUUCUCUGGCUGCUUCCCAGGAGGGAAUAUUUCAGGUCCUCCUUAGCAUUGGUGUGUCAGUAUAAGCCCCAUGACAGGAAUCCACCAUAAGCUAUACGAGGUGACCAUGGAAUCACAGAUCCGGAAUCAUCGCUCGCUUCGCACUCAGUUGUGCGUCUCAUUGACACACUUUCAACCUCUAAAAUGCCCUGACCACCAAGGAAAUACUUUGUCGCCCCUGUGACUUUUCUUAACUUGGUCUGUGCAGUUACCUGGUCACCGCAGUAUGUGAGGAUCCUUUCCGCCUGUGUUGCUGAGAGUCUGGGUUUAUGUGUCACCUUGGGUGGGACCCAAUCUCCUGUUUGUGAGGCCACCGCAAAGAGGUGGUGGGAUGCCUCUCCUCAAGAGAGGUGAUCGUGGGCUUCUCCUGAAGGAGAACGGUAAUCCCAGAUGAGCUCCCAAAUUGUUGGCAAUAAGAGCUCAGAGUUGCAAAGAAAAUGAUCUCCAAAAGAUUUCUCAGCAAGGCAGAUUUACUUCUGCAGAAUGGUGCUGCUUGCACUCCUGGUCACAGUGAGAGCACCCCGAACAAAGGAGGUGAAGUGGUUUUUAUCCCUAACACAGCUAGUUCCUGCUUCUGUGUUCUAUCCCCAUUGGCUAGAGUCCAAUCUAAACUAGUCCUGAUUGGCUAUUUUAAACAGGAGGGGUGUGGGUUACAGCAGUGGGAAGAGCAGUUGCCACGAGCGAGGGAGACUUUUCCAGAUAAGGAACAAAUGCGGGUUACAGGUUGGGAUUGGUGGGAGAAAUGUUUACAGAAUGGGUAAUUAGGAGUGGGAAGGUAUGAGGAAGUUGACCUUAAGAACAAAGAACAAGGAAGUUAAACUUUGAAGAGAAACCCAUCAUACCUAACAGUCUUGUAAGAAAGGAUGACAAAGUGAUUGAACAUUGGGUGGAGCUAAUUUUCCUUGGCCAAUUCACUUAGUAAGAUAAGGAGCUCCAAAUCAUAUUUAAGUUGGGAGUCAAUUGAUUUUACUUAAUUCUUGUGAGGUUCAGUUAUAAGAUUCAUCAUACUACUACCAUGAGCCAUCCUCAGCUCCUUGUUACAUGGGCCUGUUAACAUGGCAGCUUUGUCUAUAAGCAAACCCAGGAGAGAAAGACAUAGCAGAGAUGGAUGUUUGAAGUCUAUACCUUCCACCCCCUUUAAAGAGAAAGUAACACCACUCCUUUUCUGUGUCCCUUGGGGACACUACCUCCAUGUCUGGUCACAUGGCUGGACUUUACAGCAGAUAAGCAUACUGUGGCCUGAGACCAUGAUUGUAUGCUUUCCUUCUGCUGACCUUUACAAUCCCUCAAUAAAUUGAGCUAACACAGGGAAGCUUUUUUACCAAAUAACUGUGUUGCAUCAUCCUCCAGUUUGCCUGGUGUCCUUAAUCAAUGGAAGGGGAAUAAGCAAACUGAGUUUUCUUACACCUUUUGAGUAUAGUGUUUUUGCCAUCAUAGAUGUGGCUCCUCAUAAUUCUCCAACUUUUAUAUUAAAAAACCAAAACCUCAAAAAUUGUAGUUCAUGUCAGUCAGUGAUGACUCAUCUUAGAAGUAUUUUGUUUUUGGAUGUGUGAAUGUGCAUAGUUCUUAAAGUCCAACAUUCAUGUAAUAAGACAUCUUGCAUAUAACAAUGACCCUUACGUCUAAGAUGUUAAAUAGAUCCUAAGCCUGGUAUAACUUUAUUCAAGUAUCCUUAUUUGCCCCUAAAAUGUCUUUAAUACACAUUACUUGGGUUAUUUCUUGAAUGAACAUACAGGUAUCCCAAUUUCUGUUUUUAAGAGAAUGGGGUCUUGCUCUGUCACCCAGGCUGGAGUGCAGUGGUGCAGUCAUGGCUUACUGCAUCCAUGAUCCUCCUGCCUCAGCCUCCCAAGUAGAUGGGACUGAAAGCACACACUGCCAUCCCUGGCUAAUGUUUUCAUAUUUUGUAGAGUUGCAGCCUUGCUACGUGACCCAGGCUGGAGUGUAGUAGCUAUUCACAGGCAUGAUUGCUUGAAACUCAUGGCUUCAAGGGAAACUCCCACCCUCAAUAUCCUCAGUAGCUGCAACUACAGCCAUACCCCCCACUGCUCAGCUUCUCAUCCUUUAAAAGAUUUUUACUGGUAGUGUCCUCAUUCUGGGUUUUUGUCUUCUGUGUUUACUGUGACAUGAAGUCAUUUUUAGAUGAAGGUUAAACAUUUUGCCAACGCAGGUACAAUAUGGGAUUCAAUAAAAGUACAGAAUUAAAGUUGUCUUAUUAGAGAUUGGGAAGUUUCCCAGCUCCGUUUAUCGGUACUUGGCCGUACCGAUAAAGGGGAUGGACUUGGAGUGACCAGGUCUUAGUCACAUGUAUUUUCAUACCCUAAACAAGAAGCGGUAUAGACCAGAAUGGAGCACUGAUUGUAAUCCACCUUCUUUCUUAGAAACUGGCGAUGGAAUAUGAGAGGAGCCCUCUGGAAAGAAAAGGACAGACCCUGUGCUUUCAUGAAAGUGAAGAUCUGGCUGAACCAGUUCCACAAGGUUACUGUAUACAUAGCCUGAGUUUAAAAGGCUGUGCCCACUUCAAGAAUGUCAUUGUUAGACUUUGAAAUUUCUAACUGCCUACCUGCAUAAAGAAAAUAAAAUCUUUUAAAUCAAA